GACGAACGCUGGCGGCGUGCCUAAUACAUGCAAGUCGAACGGUUUAGUUCCAAGAGGCUUGCCUUUUGGAACUAGACAGUGGCGGACGGGUGAGUAACACGUAGGCAACCUACCUGUCAAACCGGGAUAACCUCGGGAAACCGAAGCUAAACCCGGAUAAGCUCCUUUUUCGCAUGAAGGGGGAGUGAAAAGGUGCGACCUGAUGACAGAUGGGCCUGCGGCGCAUUAGCUAGUAGGUAGGGUAACGGCCUACCUAGGCGAUGAUGCGUAGCCGACCUGAGAGGGCGGACCGCCACACUGGGACUGGGAUACGGCCCAGACUCCUACGGGAGGCAGGAGUAGGGAAUCUUCGGCAAUGGGCGAAAGCCUGAACGAGCAACGGCGCGUGAGGGAGGAAGGCCUUCGGGUUGUAAAACUCUGUUGUUUGGGAAGAAGGGAAAGGGUAGGACCCUUAGGUGACGGUACCAAACGAGAAAGCCCCGGCUAACUACGUG
rnacentral:rRNA from 1 species